CGCUUAAACUUGCAGAACAAAUUUAAAAAAGAGGAGCGGCAGAACUCCUGGAGAAUCGACAAAGCUUUCCGAGAGAGACGCAAGCUGGACAUUGAGUAUUUCUCGAAGCUGCUGGAGAAGAUUCUAGAAGUCCAAGCCAACAGGAAGAAGCUCAAGUCGCUCGUGGUGAAGAACGCCUACAAGAAGCGCCAGAGGAGCUCAAAGCGUGCAAAGAGU